CUAGCCCGCAGACACACUGAAGUCGCUAGACGUCGUGAGGAACACAUCCGGGGAAGAAGACACAGGUGGCUGGUCAUCAAGAGCCCGCUGGGGGAAGAGCACACAGACAGGCACCGGCAGGCCAUUGACCAGCGGGACAAGGGGUGCUCAAUGUCAUCACAAGGGUCCUUAAGAGGGAAAGAGGAAGCCAUGAGGGUCAGAGUCAAAGGAAGACUUGAAGAUACUACACUGAGGACUUUAAAGAUGAAGGAAGGGGCGAAAACCAAGAAUGUGGGAAGCCUCUAGAAGCUAGAGAAGGCAAGGAAACAGAUUUUCCACUAGAGCCUCCAGAAGGAACACAGCCCUGCUGACCCACUGUAAUGUCUGACCUCUAGAUGUGUAAGGGUAGUAAGACUGAAAGUCUCAGAAAGGCACUGUUACAUUCUUAUUCCACAACCAUGCAACUCAAAACUGGGGUCCUCAGCAGUGAGCGAGGGGCGAGACAAGGCACUGUAUAAACAUGGCACAUCCUCCUGGAAAGUCAACUUUACUCAAAG